AUAGCAGAUAUAGGGGAGGAAACGUUUUCCUUGACCCUCCUAGGGGCCCUUGCUGGGUCUGAAAAUUAAACUGACAAAGAUAGAUUAA